CUAAUCCCGGAUAACAUUUGAACCGCAUGGUUCAUAAGUGAAAGGGGUUUUGCUGUCACUUAUAGAUGGAUCCGCGCCGUAUUAGCUAGUUGGUAAGGUAACGGCUUACCAAGGCAACGAUACGUAGCCGACCUGAGAGGGUGAUCGGCCACACUGGAACUGAGACACGGUCCAGACUCCUACGGGAGGCAGCAGUAGGGAAUCUUCCGCAAUGGGCGAAAGCCUGACGGAGCAACGCCGCGUGAGUGAUGAAGGUCUUCGGAUCGUAAAACUCUGUUAUCAGGGAAGAACAAAUGUGUAAGUAACUGUGCACUCUUGACGGUACCUGAUCAGAAAGCCACGGCUAACUUACGUGCCAGCAGCCGCGGUAAUACGUAGGUGGCAAGCGUUAUCCGGAAUUAUUGGGCGUAAAGCGCGCGUAGGCGGUUUUUUAAAGUCUUGAUGUGAAAGCCCACGGCUCAACCGUGGAGGGUCAUUGGAAAACUGGAAAACUUGAGUGCAGAAGAGGAAAGUGGAAUUCCAUGUGUAGCGGUGAAAUGCGCAGAGAUAUGGAGGAACACCAGUGGCGAAGGCGACUUUCUGGUCUGUAACUGACGCUGAUGUGCGAAAGCGUGGGGAUCAAACAGGAUUAGAUACCCUGGUAGUCCACGCCGUAAACGAUGAGUGCUAAGUGUUAGGGGGGUUUCCGCCCCUUAGUGCUGCAGCUAACGCAUUAAGCACUCCGCCUGGGGGAGUACGACCGCAAGGUUGAAACUCAAAGGAAUUGACGGGGACCCGCACAAAGCGGUGGAGCAUGUGGUUUAAUUCGAAGCAACGCGAAGAACCUUUACCAAAUCUUGUUCAUCCUUUUGACAAGCUCUAGAGAUAGAGUCUUCCCCUUCGGGGGACAAAGUGACAGGUGGUGCAUGGUUGUCGUCAGCUCGUGUCGUGAGAUGUUGGGUUAAGUCCCGCAACGAGCGCAACCCUUAAACUUUAGUUGCCAUCAUUAGUUGGGCACUCUAAGUUGACUGCCGGUGACAAACCGGAGGAAGGUGGGGAUGACGUCAAAUCAUCAUGCCCCUUAUGAUUUGGGCUACACACGUGCUACAAUGGACAAUACAAAGGGCAGCUAAACCGCGAGGUCAGCAAAUCCCAAAAGUUGUUCUCAGUUCGGAUUGUAGUCUGCAACUCGACUACAUGAAGCUGGAAUCGCUAGUAAU
rnacentral:rRNA from 1 species